rnacentral:sRNA from 1 species
ACAGUGGGACGCAGCUUCCCCUAGCGGAGGGAUCCACUGGCCGUUAAUACAGGUGGCGCCACUGGCCCCGGAAAUCUGGUAGCCCGGAUCACACUUGAACUCGAGGCGCUGUCCGUGUUUGAUGGUCGUAAUGUACCGGGGGAAGUUAAACCGGAUGUUGUUCGGUUCCUUCUUGUAGAUUUUCCCGUUUGUGAUGGUCCCAGGAUUCGGACAAUAGACUGCAAACAGUUUUUAUUAUAAUAAUAUCUCAGUCAACAGAAAACAAAUGAAAACCAAACUAUUGUCUUAAAGAUCAUCGAUUCUCAUUUGAAUGUAAUGUUCUCUCAACUUUUAAUAUCUAUGCUGUUUUGUUUCAUUGAAUAAUGAACAUCAGUGGAGGCUCUUUAUUUUUCUUGCCGACAUUUUAGAUUGUACUCACAUUCCUGACAUGCAGGGUUACCGCCCUUCCACUGCCCCUUGUCACAGAUCAGAUAGGGCGAGCUCUGGGUCAUACCCGACAGACGGAAGCCAUUGUUACAGAUGUAGCGCGCCCGGCGGCCGUGUUCCUGUCCAAUGAAGAGGCGGAUCCCGUUCUCUACGUAAGGCGGGGGAGAAGGACAGGGCGCUUGUCAAAAUACAGAAAAAUGAAAUAAAAGUCAUGAAAUGAACACGUCAAAGUAAAUAAGAAUUAUUUGUAUACAACUUUUCCACCAACAUUCAUAAAAAAAAUAAAACAAAUAUACCCGGGACACAUUUUGGCGGUCCGGGAUUGAAGGUCCCGUUAUAACAUGUCACAAUGCUUGAAUGGACCGGGACCAACCCGUUUUUACAGGUGUACUCAAAAGUUUUUCCGUGGUUGAUCCAAGUCCCCACUGGAUAGCCAUUAAUGUCUGCAAAUUCGAUGUUUGGAAUGGAGCACUGGCCUAAAGGAACAGAGAUAAACAGAACAAAAGUGAAUUUAAAAAUUGCACUCUCGUUUUCAGUGAAACCAAAAACAGAUUGAGUGAUGAUUGGAUAUGAUUAUUUGUGGACUGUGAGUCCUCACCCCAGCAUGUCGGCGGCGGGUUUGACCAUUGUCCGGGGCUCACACAUUUUGUCUCAAAGUAAGACCCAUCAAACGUCGUUCUUACCACACAGCUGAAAGCAAGAGAAGUUUACCUAGACUUUACCUCAAGAUUUAAAAUCAUUGGCAUCAAUAAAAAGAUAAAAAAGUCUAAAUUUUUAAACAAAUACUGAGCACCCACGUACGUUCAGCUUAUGUACGAGUAUUUUGGCAUGGGCAGAAAUUUGAAGGAAAAAAAAAGACCUUGGAACUUACCUAAAGAAAAGAGUGGAGCCUAGUGUGGUCUUCUCUCCGAGAACGUAACCAUUCCAGAAGUUUUUUGGCCAGCCACAGUCGAUUUCUGCUUUAUAAACAAAACAAACCAUUCUAUAUUUAUAUGAUGCUGUAUGAUAACAAUGGUGGGAGGGGUUUUGCUGCUGACCUUUGCACUCUGAGCGUAGUAACAGAGAUGCAAAGUGUUCAAAUAAGUGAACAAUUUAACAUGGUUCAAUAACGUUAAUAACAUUGUAUUUCAUUACCUCAAUUGCCUCCUACGUAUACUUAUGUAUAAAAAUCUUAUCUGCUUUCAAAAUUUCAACCUGCUUUCAAUCUCCGUUCCAUACCUGUGCAUUUGACGUCAUUUCCGCUCCAUUCUCCAUUUUGCAGACAUCGUCUUUCAAUGGAGCCCUCCAACUGUAGACCAUCGUCACACUCAAACCGUAGGACGGUGCCGAACGCGUUACCGGAGCCCCGUAUCCUCCCACCCACCGGGGCCUGUAGGGACGGGCAGUCGAUAGCUGGAGGAGAGCAAAAAGGACAUUGCUACUGUGGGAGCGAAAUUCGUAAAGGAAGCCAUUAAACAUGCUGAUUCUGUUAAUAGGUAGGAGGCAAUGUGAGCUCGCUAAUGAAUGGUAUUGAAGGUUUAGACAAAGUAAGAACACUUAGGUCAAUGUGUGUUUGCUCGUUCUGACCGACUGUCAAAUAGAUUACAGACUCAAGACAUUUUUACUUAUAUACUAAUGAUAAUGCUUUUAUUGAAAUUUGAUACCUUGCAAAAACUUUUAAAAUAAUUUUAAUUUUGUGCAUCUU